UACGUAGGGGGCUAGCGUUGUUCGGAAUCAUUGGGCGUAAAGCGCGUGUAGGCGGUUCGGUAAGUCCGCUGUGAAAGUCGGGGGCUCAACCCUCGAAUGCCGGUGGAUACUGUCGGACUAGAGUACGGAAGAGGCGAGUGGAAUUCCUGGUGUAGCGGUGAAAUGCGUAGAUAUCUGGAGGAACACCCGUGGUGCAGACGGCUUGCUGGACCGUAACUGACGCUGAGGCACGAAAGCGUGGGUAGCAAACAGG
rnacentral:rRNA from 1 species